rnacentral:rRNA from 1 species
UACGAAGGGUGCAAGCGUUAAUCGGAAUUACUGGGCGUAAAGCGUGCGUAGGCGGUUGGCUAAGUCAGAUGUGAAAGCCCUGGGCUCAACCUGGGAAUGGCAUUUGAAACUGGCCAGCUAGAGUGUGAUAGAGGAUGGCGGAAUUCCCGGUGUAGCGGUGAAAUGCGUAGAGAUCGGGAGGAACAUCCGUGGCGAAGGCGGCCAUCUGGAUCAACACUGACGCUGAGGCACGAAAGCGUGGGGAGCAAACAGG